rnacentral:tRNA from 1 species
AAUGAAGUGCCUGAGAAAAGGACUAUUUUGAUAGAAUAAGCCAUGUAAAAACAUUUUUACCUUCAUUA